rnacentral:rRNA from 1 species
AUUGAACGCUGGCGGCAGGCCUAACACAUGCAAGUCGAGCGGAUGAAGGGAGCUUGCUCCUGGAUUCAGCGGCAGACGGGUGAGUAAUGCCUAGGAAUCUGCCUGGUAGUGGGGGAUAACGUCCGGAAACGGGCGCUAAUACCGCAUACGUCCUGAGGGAGCAAGUGGGGGAUCUUCGGACCUCACGCUAUCAGAUGAGCCUAGGUCGGAUUAGCUAGUUGGUGGGGUAAAGGCCUACCAAGGCGACGAUCCGUAACUGGUCUGAGAGGAUGAUCAGUCACACUGGAACUGAGACACGGUCCAGACUCCUACGGGAGGCAGCAGUGGGGAAUAUUGGACAAUGGGCGAAAGCCUGAUCCAGCCAUGCCGCGUGUGUGAAGAAGGUCUUCGGAUUGUAAAGCACUUUAAGUUGGGAGGAAGGGCAGUAAGUUAAUACCUUGCUGUUUUGACGUUACCAACAGAAUAAGCACCGGCUAACUUCGUG